AGGGAGCAAAGACAGCCCAGCUGGGGCUGCGGGCACAGGACACAUAUUUUUUAAAAAAUCUCCAUUUUAUCUCUGCAUGCAGUAACUUUCUUUUUUUUUUAUUGUCUUUUUAUCAGAGGUGUGAGGCCGUGGUACAGCUUGCCUGAGGUGGCACAGCAGGGGGACAAGUCAAGAUCAUGCUCAAGGUGUCCUCGCCGCAUGCUGCACUGCUGCUGCAUUGCUCCCUCACAUGGACAUUUCCCAGAAGCCUGUGCAGGUUGGUCACGUUAAGGGAUAUGAAGAGGAUGUAUUGACUUUUUAAUGAAUUUCAAGUUCCACAAAUGGGAGCCUUUCAGGAUCAAAAUAUUAGGGCCAUUUCUGCUGCUGGUCCAUGCUCACACUCAGCACUUCAGCUGGCAGCUGCCUGCAGGCACCAGAGGAUGCCCAAGCAUCUGUCUUUCACUGAAAUGGAGGAUACUUUUUCAGAGGGUGAGAGGACACUUCAUUCCCUGCAUGCCUGGGAGAAAGAUUUGUCUUCCCCUGGGGAGGAGAAGCCUCUGGAGGCACCUGCCUCUUGUUGCCUUGACUCACAGUACACAUUGUCAUCCUGAAGGAGAAAUUCCUUCCAGGGCUUUGAGGCCACGUGGGUUGCCCCCCAGCGCCAGCGCAGUGCUGCUCCUCCUGCUUCACUGGAUACUUCCCUGGACUCAGAGAUGA
rnacentral:lncRNA from 1 species